rnacentral:rRNA from 1 species
GACUCUCGGCAACGGAUAUCUCGGCUCACGCAUCGAUGAAGAACGUAGCAAAAUGCGAUACUUGGUGUGAAUUGCAGAAUCCCGUGAACCAUCGAGUUUUUGAACGCAAGUUGCGCCCGAAGCCUUYCGGCCGAGGGCACGUCUGCCUGGGCGUCACAC